GGGGAAUCUUAGACAAUGGGCGCAAGCCUGAUCUAGCCAUGCCGCGUGAGCGAUGAAGGCCUUAGGGUUGUAAAGCCCUUUCGUGGGGGAAGAUAAUGACUGUACCCCAAGAAGAAGCCCCGGCUAACUCCGUGCCAGCAGCCGCGGUAAUACGGAGGGGGCUAGCGUUGUUCGGAAUUACUGGGCGUAAAGCGCACGUAGGCGGACCGGAAAGUCAGAGGUGAAAUCCCAGGGCUCAACCUUGGAACUGCCUUUGAAACUCACGGUCUUGAGUUCGAGAGAGGUGAGUGGAAUUCCGAGUGUAGAGGUGAAAUUCGUAGAUAUUCGGAGGAACACCAGUGGCGAAGGCGGCUCACUGGCUCGAUACUGACGCUGAGGGGCGAAAGCGUGGGGAGCAAAC
rnacentral:rRNA from 1 species